rnacentral:rRNA from 1 species
GACGAACGCUGGCGGCGUGCCUAAUACAUGCAAGUAGAACGCUGAAGAGAGGAGCUUACUCUUCUUGGAUGAGUUGCGAACGGGUGAGUAACGCGUAGGUAACCUGCCUUGUAGCGGGGGAUAACUAUUGGAAACGAUAGCUAAUACCGCAUAACAAUGGACGACACAUGUCAUUUAUUUGAAAGGGGCAAUUGCUCCACUACAAGAUGGACCUGCGUUGUAUUAGCUAGUAGGUGAGGUAAUGGCUCACCUAGGCGACGAUACAUAGCCGACCUGAGAGGGUGAUCGGCCACACUGGGACUGAGACACGGCCCAGACUCCUACGGGAGGCAGCAGUAGGGAAUCUUCGGCAAUGGGGGCAACCCUGACCGAGCAACGCCGCGUGAGUGAAGAAGGUUUUCGGAUCGUAAAGCUCUGUUGUAAGUCAAGAACGGGUGUGAGAGUGGAAAGUUCACACUGUGACGGUAGCUUACCAGAAAGGGACGGCUAACUACGUG